rnacentral:rRNA from 1 species
UCUCAGUUCGGAUUGUAGUCUGCAACUCGACUACAUGAAGCUGGAAUCGCUAGUAAUCGUAGAUCAGCAUGCUACGGUGAAUACGUUCCCGGGUCUUGUACACACCGCCCGUCACACCACGAGAGUUUGUAACACCCGAAGCCGGUGGAGUAACCUUUUAGGAGCUAGCCGUCGAAGGUGGGACAAAUGAUUGGGGUGAAGUCGUAACAAGGUAGCCGUAUCGGAAGGUGCGGCUGGAUCACCUCCUUU